rnacentral:rRNA from 1 species
GACAGAGGUCCCGAGCGUUAGGCGGAAUCACUGGGCUUAAAGCGUGUGUAGGCGGAUGCCUAAGUACCUUGUGAAAUCCCACGGCUCACCCGUGGAACUGCUUGGUAUACUGGGUGUCUUGAGCCACUUAGGGGCUACCGGAACAAAUGGUGGAGCGGUGAAAUGCGUAGAUAUGCGGAGGAACACCGAUGGCGAAGGCAAUCCCCUGGGCCUGCACUGACGCUCAUGCACGAAAGCGUGGGGAGCAAACAGG